GGCCUUCCCACCCUCUCUGACCCCGCCAGCCAGCGCAGCCAAUCGGCGGCGAGCAGUUUUUCCCACUAGCCAAUCAGGACACGGCCGGCUAGCAGAAUUUCGCUACGGCAACGCUGGAGGAUCACAUAGCGAGAGGCCUAGAUCCGCUGGAUGUAAGAGUCUCAGCGAUUGGCCAGCUCUGUAAAUUUGUCAGUGGUUGGUCACGCGCCCGCGUGAGGGAUAAGGCCUAGAACAGCAGGCCCCAUUUCCUGCCUCAGCGCCCCGUUGUUUCUACGCACUAGUCCGGACCCCUCACGCGACCCGGUACCAGCUGCGGUAUCUGGAGGCUCCUUCGUGGGAGAAUGACAUGGAUAAAAUGUGGGGAUAAAGAACAAAGCCACCCACGUCCGGAACAGAGCCGCCUGUUAACCUCACAGCCUUACCAGAUGGUCACCCUCUGUGUGACUCCGAGCUCGAUUGUUGUGGAGGAUCACCUUGCCCCUGGGCAAGACAUCCAGAUACCAGGGAAGAGAAGGCAGCACUGCUCCGAGUCCCGUCUUCAGCCGAGGACGGU